rnacentral:rRNA from 1 species
GGAACGAACGCUGGCGGCAGGCUUAACACAUGCAAGUCGAACGCAUCGCAAGAUGAGUGGCAGACGGGUGAGUAACGCGUGGGAAUCUACCCAAUUCUUCGGAACAACUGAGGGAAACUUCAGCUAAUACCGGAUGUGCCCUUCGGGGGAAAGAUUUAUUGGAAUUGGAUGAGCCCGCGUUGGAUUAGCUAGUUGGUGGGGUAAAGGCCUACCAAGGCGACGAUCCAUAGCUGGUCUGAGAGGAUGAUCAGCCACACUGGGACUGAGACACGGCCCAGACUCCUACGGGAGGCAGCAGUGGGGAAUAUUGGACAAUGGGCGCAAGCCUGAUCCAGCCAUGCCGCGUGUGUGAUGAAGGUCUUAGGAUUGUAAAGCACUUUCACCGGAGAAGAUAAUGACGGUAUCCGGAGAAGAAGCCCGGCUAACUUCGUGCCAGCAGCCGC